rnacentral:misc_RNA from 1 species
GAUGAAGAACGCAGCGAAAUGCGAUAAGUAAUGCGAAUUGCAGAAUUCCAGUGAAUCAUCGAGUCUUUGAACGCACAUUGCGCCCCCUGGUAUUCCGGGGGGCAUGCCUGUCCGAGCGUCAUUGCUGCCCUCAAGCACGGCUUGUGUGUUGGGCCUCCGUCCUCCUCCCGGGGGACGGGCCCGAAAGGCAGCGGCGGCACCGCGUCCGGUCCUCGAGCGUAUGGGGCUUCGUCACCCGCUCUUGUAGGCCCGGCCGGCGCUUGCCGACACAUCAAUCUUUUUUCCAGGUUGACCUCGGAUCAGGUAGGGAUACCCGCUGAACUUAAGCAUAUCAAUAAGCGGAGGA